GGGUCCCCAGCUUGAGAUGUCUUCAAGGGCUCUGAUUGUCGCUGGAAAGACCCAUUACGUCCUGCAGCAUUUCCCGCUCCUUGUCCUGCUGGGACUUCCGGGCCUUUCUCCUGUCCUCUGUCGUUCUCCACACUUUUGGUCAUGUUGGCCCUCCAGGCCCUUUGUUCCCUGUCUGAAGAUGCAGCACUGGCUUGCAGGAUCUCACAGAACAUGUUCUCCCUUGUCCUUCCUCAGGGUCAGGCACUGUGCGGGCAUGGAGGGGGCCAUCACACCAGAGGCUGUUGAUAAAGACAGAUGUGCUGUUGGAUUUACAGUCACAAAGGAAAGGGAAAGAAGAGUUUCAAAGCUCCCUUCCCUUAUUCCCAUGAACACUUGUAAUUGACACUUCAUCUUUGGACAGCACUGUUCACCAGCACCAGCCACGGUGACUAUGGCCCGAAGAGAAUUUUCUGUUGCCCGAAGCGAUAAAAUUUCGGUCCCUGUUACUCAGGCCCAGGAGAUCCAAUACUUCCUGUCUACUCCAGGCAGGGGCACGUCUAGAGUGCGGAGCUGGCAGAAGGAAGCUAGACAAUUUACCGCACACGCAAAUGCAGUGCCAGGACAGAGAACCGGCUGUUUGAUACCCUCCUAACCCAUCAACCUCCUGAGAGCCGGAUGUGGAACAAAGACCUGGAAUGAGGGACCCAAGAAGGAAAGGAGGGAGCAUGGAACUACGUGGAAUUGAUGACUUUAUCCCGAGCAGGGUUGCUGAUGGCGUCGAUGUCCUGACUCAACUGUUUCUGAGAAGUCAUUUACCAUGGCAAAAUAGAGGUGGAUUUGGCCAGAAGAGGCCACUCGUGAGUGAGAGCCGAUGUUGUUUAACAGGGUAUUCUACCACUUCAGAUUUAAUGGCUGCUGCGAUGCAGCAUCUGUUCAGGACUUAUCCCAACAGCAGAAGAACUCUGAGCCUCCUGUACCUAAGCACAGGCCCCUGCCACUGCAGCGAGAAUCUCUGCAGGCUCUCGGCCAUACGGGGCCUGUGACACACGGCUGAGCAGAUCUCAUUCUGGCCAGUAGAGGGCAGGAAUUCACAUGCACAGUAGCCAGGACAUGACACUAUUGUGAGCUAUGGAACAUGGACCUGCUCCCU